UCCUUCCUCGCCACUCCAGUGUCUGUCUUUCCUUCACAGCCCCGGCUUCUCGAGGCCUGUCUACACUCGCUGCUUUCCUUCCUCACCUCCAAUUUCCCCUCCAACCCACUGCUUCCUGACUCGCUCUUCUCCAUCGAACGGCUCUCGCUCAGGCCUGUCGCGUCUUCCUGUGCCAUUUGCUGUUGUGCUCAGGUUCCACGAGCUGCCCAUCUCCACAGAAGAGCAGCUGGCAUUGCCCACCGGCCAUGCCGGCUGAAGAAAAGAAGUCUGAGGACCCCAGGACGCCCAGCGCGAGGACCCCAGGAAGCCCAGCGCGAGGACCCCACCCACGACGCCCAGCGCGAGGACCUCACGCACAACCCUCCUGGAUUAGGCCAAAGCCAUCAUCUGGAAUCCUGCGUGGGACCCUGGACACACGGACACAGACACCUGCCCCCAGGACCCUCCAACUGUAAAUCCCUCCACAGCCACGGGGACGCCUUGCACAUUUCCUGUGGGACAUGCUGGACCCAAGACUCUGGACCCUGGCCUCCCCUUGAGUAGAGAGACCCACCUACUGACUGAUGAACUGUGCUGACCCUGGGGUCAGGCAUGUGGCCUUGAUCCCUACCCAUGGACCCUGAGACUUGGGGCGGGGGUGGGGGGAAAGGCUGUUGAGUCUUCACUGUUGAGUCCACAUCUGUGAAAUGGGCUCAGAUUCCUACCUCACAGGGCUGUUGUGAGGCAGCCGCGAUGUGCUUAGAAGCAUGGGGCCUGGUGGCUCAUGGUGCUUUCAAUAAAUUUCUUGUCUU
rnacentral:lncRNA from 1 species